ACGUUCUCUCUCUUUCUCUAUAUCUCUCUUCCUCUUCCUCUUUCUUUUGUCUCUCUUUCUCUUUCUUUCUCUUUCAUUUCAUUUUCUCUCUUACCUAAUUUCUGAUAUUUCUUCUCAAAUUUAUUUACCUAAUUUCUUUCUCCUCCUAUCACCACCGCCACUGCCACUUAUGUGUUAUUUUCAUUUUUUUUACGUUAUUGUCAUAAAUGCAACAAAUAGCUUCAACGAUUCAGAUCUGGAAAAGGUUCUGAAAUAACGAAAAACUGGGUUAUUUGAGCAAGUGGGCUUCUUCUUCUUCUACCAUAUUAAAGGUUUUGUCAUUUUAACGUUUUUCUUUUUCCUCCCAGAUCUGCGUUUUUUGUUGUUACUGGGUUUUUCUACUUCUUCUAAAUUCAAAUCUGGGUUUUUGUAUGAUUUGUAUCUGGAAAAGGUAAAAGAUACAAACUUUUAUGGUUUUUCGUUUUCAAAUGCUUCAUUAUUUUAUUUAUUCAACAUCACUAACAUCAUUUUUAUUAUUUUCAUUUGAGAUAGGUUCUGAAAUAACGAAAAACUGGGUUAUUUGAGCAGGUGGGCUUCUUCUUCUUCUACCAUAUUAAAGGUUUUGUCAUUUUAACGUUUUUCUUUUUCCUCCCAGAUCUGCGUUUUUGUUGUUACUGGGUUUUUCUACUUCUUCUAAAUUCAAAUCUGGGUUUUUGUAUGAUUUGUAUCUAGAAAAGGUAAAAGAUACAAACUUUUGUGGUUUUUCGUUUUCAAAUGCUUCAUUAUUUUAUUUAUUCAACAUCACUAACAUCAUUUUUAUUAUUUUCAUUUGAGAUAGGUUCUGAAAUAACGAAAAACUGAGUUAUUUGAGCAGAUCUGCGUUUUUUGUUGUUACUGGAUUUUUCUACUUCUUCUAAAUUCAAAUCUGGGUUUUUGUAUGAUUUGUAGUUUUUCUCUCAGAUCUGAGUUUGUUUGUUGCAGAAGAUUACAAGAUUUUGGGAUGAAAUGUUGUAACUUGUAAGAAUGAGAAUUAGAGUUUUGAUUUUGAAAUUUUAUUUUUACAUUUUGAUCAACCAGGUAAAUAGUGAAAGAAAUCUGUAUAGGAAAUUUUUGAUCUAACAGAGAAAAUUAUAUCAUUAAUGUUGUUUGAUUUUUCUUCUGCACUUUUUAGUCUGGCUUUUUUUAGUUUUGAUUUUUAAUUGUUCUUUGCUUUUUUUAGUCAUGUCAUCAUGUUCACCAAGUACGUUUAAUAAAAUGAACUGCAGAUCAAGCUCUAGAAGAAUAUUGAUGUAGAAAAGUAUUCAUAAAGGAUGUUGAUGGAAAAAUAUUUGUUGAAAUUAAAUCCACUUGAAUGUCAUUAAUUUGUCAUAACUUUAUUUUGUUUUAAAUUUUAAUACUGAUUUUAUUUUGAUUAUAAAUAUAUAAAUAUGUUUAUGUCAUAUAAAAUUUAUUUAACAAUAAAUAUUUGUUGUUUAUGUAAAAAUAAUAUUGAAGUAAUUUUUUUAUACAUUUAAUUCAAUUAAAAUAAGAUG